rnacentral:rRNA from 1 species
UGUGAACUGCAGGACACAUGAACAUCGACAUUUCGAACNCACAUUGCGGUCCUCGGAUACGAAUCCCGGACCACGCCUGGCUGAGGGUC